UACGUAGGGGGCAAGCGUUGUCCGGAAUCAUUGGGCGUAAAGCGCACGUAGGCGGCCCGGUAAGUCCGUUGUGAAAGUCAGAGGCUCAACCUCUGGAGGCCAAUGGAUACUGCCGGGCUAGAGUCCGGAAGAGGAGAGUGGAAUUCCUGGUGUAGCGGUGAAAUGCGCAGAUAUUAGGAGGAACACCGGUGGCGAAGGCGCCGCUCUGGGCCGAUACUGACGCUGAGGAGCGAAAGCGUGGGUAGCAAACAGG
rnacentral:rRNA from 1 species